rnacentral:rRNA from 1 species
GGUUAAGUUACUAAGAGUAUGCGGAGGAUGCCUUGGCACGAGAAGGCGAUGAAGGACGCGGCUACCUGCGAAAAGCUUCGGAGAGGCGGUAACAGCCUGUGACCCGGAGGUGUCCGAAUGGGGCAACCCUUCCCGAGUAAUGUCGGGAAACACCGCGCUGAAUUCAUAGGCGCGGAUGAGCUAACUGGGAGAAGUGAAACAUCUCAGUAACCCAUGGAAAAGAAAGAAACUCGAUUUCCUUAGUAGCGGCGAGCGAAAAGGAAACAGUCUAAACCGUACGGCACAUUCAAGGAUGCAACCGUUGUACCGUUGGUGUUGCGGGACCUUCCGACCGGAUUGCAUGACGGUCAAGGAGUAAGAAAUCAUUGUGUUAGCUGAAUCUUCUGGAAAGUUGAACCAGAGAAGGUGAUAGUCCUGUAGGCAAAAACGCAAUGACUCCUGAAGGUAUCCCAAGUAGUACGGAGUAAGUGAAAUUCUGUACGAAUCCGCCAGAACCAUCUGGUAAGACUAAAUACUCUCUCGUGACCGAUAGCGAACAAGUACCGUGAGGGAAAGGUGAAAAGAACUCCUAACAGGAGAGUGAAAUAGUACCUGAAACCGCAUACUUACAAACGGUCGGAGCGAUUCCGCUGAUGCUUGCAUCGGCGGAAGAGUGACGGCGUGCCUUUUGCUUAAUGAGCCUACGAGUUGCUCGUGCGUUGCAAGGAUAAGUUUCUGAGAAAUGAAUCCGUAGCGAAAGCAAGUCCUAAUCGGGCGAACCAGUAACGUGCGGCAGACGCGAACCCGUGUGAUCUACCCUUGGUCAGGAUGAAGUGGCGGUAAAACGCCAUGGAGGUCCGUACUGUUGUGGGUUGAAAACCGCUCGGAUGAACUGAGGGUAGGAGCGAAAGACCAAUCAAACUCGGAGAUAGCUCGUACUCCCCGAAAUAGCUCUAGGGCUAGCCUCAUGUUAUAGUAUCACGAAGGUAGAGCACUGAUUGGGCUAGGGUCGUCACAACGAUACCAAACCCAGACAAACUCCGAAUAGCGUUGAUACGUUUCAUGGGAGUCAGGCAGCGAGAGAUAAGUUCCGUUGCCAAAAGGGAAACAACCCAGACCGCCAGCUAAGGUCCCCAAAUCGAAAUUAACAGAGAAAGGAUGUUGAGUUGCUCAGACAACUAGGAUGUUUGCUCAGAAGCAGCAACCAUUUAAAGAGUGCGUAAUAGCUCACUAGUCAAGCGACUUAGCGCCGACAAUUCUCGGGACUAAAUUUCGUACCGAAGCUGCGGACUCCAUCCCGAUUUUAUCGGGACGGACGUGGUAGGGGAGCAUUCCAUCUGCAUUGAAGGUGCGGCGUGAGCCGUGCUGGAGCGGAUGGAAAUGCAGAUGUAGGCAUAAGUAACGAGAAGAGAAGUGGAAAACUUCUCCACCGAAAAUCUAAGGUUUCCUGAGCAACGUUAAUCGUCUCAGGGUUAGUCGAACCCUAAGGUGAGGCCGAAAGGCGUAACCGAUGGAAAACAGGUUUAAUAUUCCUGUACCUGCUUGCAAUCGUUUGAUCAUAAGGAGCGACGCAGAAGUGAAGUCCGGCCACCUGUCGGCUUAGGUGGUUUAACCGUGUAGGGAGAGCGUGUAGGAAAAUCCGCACGCUCGUUAAUCCCGAGGCGGGAACAGGGUGCCCGCAAGGGCCGCAACCGGACCUAAUCAGGCUGCCGAGAAAAACUUCGUAUGAGAGAGUGCAGACAGAUCGUACCGCAAACCGACACAGGUAGAUGGGAUGAAAAUUCUCAGGUGCUCGAGUGAGCCGUGGUUAAGGAACUCGGCAAACUGACCGCGUAACUUCGGGAUAAGCGGUGCCCAUAGUAUGUGAGGGUGUACAACCCGAGCAGAAUUGGGUCGCAGUGAAACGGGCCAAGCGACUGUUUAACAAAAACACAUGUCUCUGCCAAGACUUUACGUCGAAGUAUAGGGACUGACACCUGCCCGGUGCUGGAAGGUUAAGGAAGAGGGUCAAUCCCGAGCAAUCGGGACGAAGCUCUCGACCGAAGCCCCAGUAAACGGCGGCCGUAACUAUAACGGUCCUAAGGUAGAAUACAAAGCUGCCUGUCCCGCUGGCAACAGCGGGAGCAAUUCUCAACUAUUUGCGGGAACACUCUAAGAGUUUCAUCUACUCGUAAUGCCGCUGGCGUUGCAGUAAAAAUGAUGAAGAUUGAGCAAUCCGCAGGAAAUUUUUCCGAUAAGAUCGGGAGAAGAUCCUCAGAGACUUUACGUUGAGUAUCUUAACUCACUAACUGUCACUACAUAAUUUCAGGAAAACUGCUAUGACUUUGUCUCCGGAUUGGGUUUCCGGUUUUGUUGAUGGCGAAGGAUGUUUUUACGUCGGCAUCUACGAACAUCCGGAAAUGACUGCCGGAUAUCAGGUGCUUCCGGAAUUCCGAAUUGUUCAGCACGAACGAGAUAUUCAAAUCUUGUACGGCAUGAAGCGAUUCUUCAAAUGCGGCGUCGUGCGGAAAAAUCAUGAUGACCGUUAUGAGAUCAGAAUCAGGAAGAUGGAAUGUCUUCUCAGCGUUGUUGCUUUUUUUGAGAAGCAUUCAUUGAAGACAAAGAAAAAUGUUGACUUCAAAAAGUUCGCGCGUAUUGUGCGCUGGAUGCAUGAAGGAAAACAUUUACAGAAAGAAGGUUUGAUUGAAAUUAUUGAACUGGCAAUGCAGAUGAAUCGCGAAGAUAAAAUCAAAGCGAAAGAAAUUCUGCAGCGUUUGAAACAGUGUUAAGAUAAAGAUAAAGUCCACGUCUCGGAUGAAAGUCCAAGAUUUUUCGUGAGCGAAAUUCCUUGUCGGGUAAGUUCCGACCUGCACGAAUGGUGUAACGAUUUGGUCACUGUCUCAACCACGGGCUCGGUGAACUUGUGGUACCGGUGAAGACGCCGGUUACCCGCAUAUGGACGGAAAGACCCUAUGCACCUUUACUGCACCCUACUAUUGGGUUCGGACAAAGCAUGUGUAGCAUAGGUGGGAGGCUGUGAAGCCGGAGCGCUAGCUUCGGUGGAGCCAACAGUGAAAUACCACCCUUGUUUUGUUGGAAUUCUAACCUCGUUCCGUAAUCCGGGAUAGGAACAGUGGUAGGCGGGUAGUUUGACUGGGGCGGUCGCCUCCUAAAAUGUAACGGAGGCUCUCAAAGGUUCCCUCAGCAUGGUUGGUAAUCAUGCGGCGAGUGUAAAAGCACAAGGGAGCUUGACUGCGAGACAGACAAGUCGAGCAGGUACGAAAGUAGGAUUUAGUGAUCCGAUGGUUGCGCGUGGAAGCGCCAUCGCUCAAAGGAUAAAAGGUACGCUAGGGAUAACAGGCUGAUCUUGCCCAAGAGUUCAUAUCGACGGCAAGGUUUGGCACCUCGAUGUCGGUUCAUCGCAUCCUGGGGCUGGAGAAGGUCCCAAGGGUUUGGCUGUUCGCCAAUUAAAGCGGUACGUGAACUGGGUUCAGAACGUCGUGAGACAGUUCGGUCCCUAUCCUAUGCGGGCGCAGGAAACUUGAGGAGUGUCGUUCUUAGUACGAGAGGACCGGAAUGAACGGACCGACGGUGUAUCUGUUGUCACGCCAGUGGCAGUGCAGAGUAGCCACGUCCGGAUGGGAUAAGCACUGAAAGCAUCUAAGUGCGAAACCCGCUCCAAGAUGAGGUUUCCCUUCCGUCGCAAGACGGAACUAAAGACUCCAAGGAGAUGACUUGGUUGAUAGGCUGCAGAUAUAAAUCCGGCAACGGAUGAGUCGAGCAGUACUAAUAAGUCGUGCGGCUUGCCAAU